GCUUUUUCAUCUUACCAACAUCACUGUUUGCCAGAAGACUGAGCGGGUCAACGUCCUUCAUGCAUGGCUGAGUCUCCAAAGCAGGCUGUUUUUCAUGUUCUUUUUCACAUGUACUGUUUCCUGGUCCAUUAGCUUCAUUUUGAUUUCUUUGUGAUGGUACAUUACUAUCAACACCAUUCUUCUUGAAUUUCUUCCAGAACUGACGCUUCUGUUUUCUCUUCUGUCUUCCUUGCUGCCCAGACCUCUCAUCUUCUGUAGCUUUCCACAUCCCCUUCAUUUUGCCAAACUGCGGGGUGGUGAGGACUUCUCCUCUUUCCUCCUUCUCCAUCUGCAUUACUUUCUUCUUUUCAAUGUUUGCUAAUGUAGGAAAAUUUUUUUUUCUUUCUUCUCUCCAUCUGGCAAUCUCUUCUGGACUAUCUAAUUUUAUUCUUUUAGCACCAGGUCCAUGUACAUUCUUCCAGUGUAUCUGAACUAACUUCUCAUGUGCAUUGAAAUUGCAUCCUUCUUCUGUGCACUGCAAG
rnacentral:lncRNA from 1 species